UACAGAGGUCUCAAGCGUUGUUCGGAUUCAUUGGGCGUAAAGGGUGCGUAGGCGGCGCGGUAAGUCGGGUGUGAAAUCUUGGAGCUUAACUCCGAAACUGCAUUCGAUACUGCCGUGCUUGAGGACUGGAGAGGGGACUGGAAUUUACGGUGUAGCGGUGAAAUGCGUAGAUAUCGUAAGGAAGACCAGUGGCGAAGGCGGGUCUCUGGACAGUUCCUGACGCUGAGGCACGAAGGCCAGGGGAGCAAACGGG
rnacentral:rRNA from 1 species